rnacentral:rRNA from 1 species
GAAGCCUGACAUGGGCGACUUAAAAUAACUAUGGAGUUUGGUCUUCGGACUAGACAACACCGCUGAAAUGCUGUGAUCAACUUAUUCGUUGUACCAGCAGCCCUCUUAUGGGGGCCCACAGAUCAAGCUGCGGUGAUCCCACCUAGAUUAUUUAGGUAGGACUAUAAUAUGACCGGUCUCACCUGAGAUGGUUGAGAGAACACGUUCCGUAGGUGAACCUGCGGAAGGAUCAUUA